GAAAAACCAGAAAGAAAAUGGGAAAAAAAAAAAAAAA
rnacentral:rRNA from 1 species